UGUUGGGUUACUGCCAACUGCUCGUUAUAAUUUAAUGUUAGCAAAUUAUUUUAUCAAAUUGUGUUUUCCCUUUGCUGCUUUAUAAAUAACAUUAUUGUUGAUUCAAUUUAAAAUCAUCAUCAACAUUAUUCUUGUUAUUAUUGUUUUCUAUUCUUUUUCUGUUAUUCUCUUAUUUUUUUCAAAUGAUCAUCUAUUGCUGUUUAACCAACGUCAGUUUUUCCUAUCAAAAGAUAUUAUAAGUAAACAUUGUUAACAAUCUUUGAUAACAACAAUUUGGUCUUAUUGUAACCUUUGGGGCAUUAUCAGGAUGACAUUGAAUCUUACUCAAUCAUCUGAUCACUGUUAUUUAAUCGAAACGUAUUUCUAUACUCAUACACACACAUAAUAAACAAUUGAAACAUUGUGUUGUGUUGCUUUUGUGUUGAAUAAAUUGAAGAGGAAGAAAAGAUAUUGGCUUCAAAUUGGUGUUUAUUUGGCCUUUUUUUAUUAUCGCUCUUGUUUAUUCAUUUAUUUUUCACACUUUGACCUAACAAUUGGGAAUUUAUAGUUUACAAGUGCAGGUUGAAAGGUUUUCUCAUCGCAGGUCAAUCAGGGUUUUCAUUAUUGAUUACGAGUUGAGUUUGGUUGAAAGUAUUUUCAGUAUACUUUUGCUGGAGCUGUUGAUAGUUUCAUUAUGAUAAUAUUGAUGAUGAUUGAAAGUGAACCAUCAUAAGGAUCAUCAUCUUAAACUAGAUCUACCUUCUUAAGUCACUUUACUUCAAUUUGAUCCUUGAUUUAUACAGUUUACUGUAAAUACUCUAAAUAAUUCAUCUUGAAUGUUUCUUUUAUUCAUGAGGUUUGGGUCAAACAUAAGGAAUUGGUCAGUCAACAGAUGCACUCUUUUGCCUUAAACAGAAGCAAUCAACACUUUAGCCGAAAAAUAAAAACAUUUACCAAUAAAACAACAAAAAAUGAUAAUUUUCAACUAAACCCUUGGCAAGUUGAUUGAUUUACAUUGAAUAAACGUUGAAAUUUAACAUUGGCGCUAAAAAAGAUAGUGAUGUCAGCUAUUUUUUUCAACCAAUGACUUUGAAAUAUAAAACCGUUAGAUAAGUUUAAGACAAUGCUUCUUCAAUUUUAAGAUUUAAACUUUAUUUCUUGUGUUAAUUAAAAGUGAAACCUUCAAAAAUGAUAAUUACACCAACAGUUUCAACUCUUCGGGUGAAAUUAAAGCCGAAAAUGGUGGCAAUGAUAUUGAUGGAACAUUGGAUUCAGGCCAAUGGAAAAGAAACACGCCAAACCGUUAAAUCUUGAAAUAUCUUUAACAAUAAGAAAUUGUAAUUCACUGGUCAUGGAUCGCUUGGUAAGGUUAAUUGCUUCAAAUGCCAUUCCAUGGAGAGCGUUGCUCUAUUUUUUCACUGUGUAUCUAGCUGGAGCGUGGAUUACAUGUUUAAAUGUUUUGAUUUAUGGAAGGACCAAAGAUUUGUUGACUGACUAUAUUUUCCAUGUGGGUAUGGCAAGGAACAUGAAUGCAACAAAAGUUGACAGUCAAAAUGGAUACAAAAUGCUUUGGUCUACUGCCAACAUCAUAUUACAUGUGUCUAUGAUUCAUGGAAUAAUUUAUAUUUUUUGGAAUCUUAUUUCUCGAUUACCGUAACAAUAACUAAAUGAACCACUUGAUAACUGAAUUUCUGGAAGGAUUCACAGUUUCAAAAUUUUGGAUGAUAGUUGAAAGAGAAGAGCAAAGUUAGCUCUCUUAGCAAAGUAUAUUUUAUUUGUUACCACUUUGCGAUUCAAGUAAACAAUACGAACAGACGAACAAGACUGGAUUGAAUUCAAUGACAAACGUUCACCAGGCCAAUUGAUUUUUACCCUUCUUGGAUUUCCUUGGCCGCUCUUUUCAAAGUACAUUCAACUUUACAUGGAAAUCCAUUGAACUAUCUAAUAUCCUUCGUUUUUUUUCUUCAUUUUACUUUGAAUUUGUUUCACAUUCUCUCAUAUUCUAUUUAUUUUGGGUUUAUCAUCUUCAUGAGAUGAGGAAACAUGAAGGGAAAAUAAUAAGAGUGUUCAAUGUUUCCACAGUUUUUGUUUCACCAAAUCAAUCCAUGGGAUUGGAAAAGUAAAGCAACGAGAAAGGAAACAAAUCGUAACAUUGCAAACAAUCAAAAAACUUUAUCGUCAAGAUUGAAAGAUGAAGACGAGUGAGAAAGAUGUAAGAUGAUAAAGUAACCCAAAAAUACAGAGGCAAAGAAACAAUUGGUCGAUACUUUGGUUCCCAAUUGGGUCCCCAUUUUGUGUUUAAAGAUGAAGAGAGGAAAAAAAAGGAAGAAAGAUUUAACCCCUUUUCUGUCUGUCUUUUUCUCUCUCCUUUUGUCCCUUCAACUCACACUUUUCAACUCUUUCAGCUUUACUUCAUUAACGUUCAGUGUACUUCUGCAAACGAUUCAAUUCCUUGUCUCUCUGUGUUACCUUAUUUAUAUACUCUUAUUUCUUGAAUCAAAUCUUUUCCUUCUCUUCACUUUUUGUUCUUCUUCUUCAUCUUCUCCUAGUUUCAUGUUAUUCUUUAUGAUAAGAAUUGUCAGUCAACUAACAAACAUGGAAAAUGCCUUUUUUAUUGAACAAAAUAAGAUAUAGUUAUUUCGAGUUUUUUCAACCUUUAUUAUAUGAAAGGUGAAAAGAAUGAGAAUGAAAAAGUGAAAGAGAAAGAAACAGAUUGAUGAAGACAGAACUGAUAGAUAGAAAGAUAAAUAUACCUGAAAUUGAAGUUAGUCUACAAAAUUUUCAUCUUUUAUUUUCUCUCUUUAUCUUUUAUCUUUUCCUUUAUCAUCUUCAUCUUGAUCAUCGUCUUCAUCUUCUUCUCUCCUGACAAUUCUUCAAUUUAUUACCAAAAUCAUUGAAGCAACUCUUAAAUUCCUCCAAGCAAAAUAAUGUUCAGUUAUUUUUGUUUCUUCCUCUCCCUUUCUCAUCCACUUUAUCCUUACCUCUUUAUCAUCUUUAAAUCUUCCCCUUUCAUUCACCAUCUUCAUCAAGACGAUGAUAAUUUUUUCAACCUUCCCAUGAAAUAUCAAAAUUAUAUUAUUCCAUUUCACCUUAUAGUGCAUAUUUAAAUAUCAAUUGAAGACAAUCUGGUUAACUCGACAAUCAACCCUGAAAUGUUGGAAACAAAUGAACCAAAAGUAGCUACAUUUAGACAAUCAAAUAACCAUUGUCGUAUUGCAUUUAAAUCAACCAGCUAAUUUUGACGUUGAAAACAAUUUGAAUCAAGUAAAUUCAUCUAAAUUGAUCAACCAAAGAGAAACAUGUAAAACAUUUACAAUGGUUAAUUGUUUGAUUAAUUUUGAUUCCUUUUUCCUUCUAUUAUCACCAAUUUUCACUUUCCAAAUUGAUUUAGUCAAAAUUUUGAUCCAUUUUAGGGCAACAUUCAAGUUGAUUGUAGUUAUUCAUGAUUGAUAAGUUAACCAAGUUUGAUUGCAGCAAAUGUUACAAAAGGUUAAUCGUCUAUCUAAUGGUUAAAUGUCAAUGGUAAAGGUUAAACAUUAGACUUGUAAAGAGAGUGAAACCUCUUUAGGUUGAUGGUAAACUUGUGAAAAUGUUAACCAAAAAGAUAUUUCUUCAGCUAAUAUCAUCAUCUCAACUCAUUGGAAAAGGCUUGUUGUGAACAAAAAAGAUAUCAAAGACGUCACAAGGAAACAAAAAAGGAAAGAUGGCAAAGAAGAAGAAGAAGAAGAAGAUAAAUAAGAAUGAGAAUCGACUGGAAGUAAAAUCAAGGGAAUGAUAAGAUACAAUCUGUUGUAAAAGUGAAAAAGUAGCUGAGUUCAGUAGAUAUUUUGACGAACCAUGUAAGCAACAAAAAAACGGGUUCAAGUGAUUUUUUAUUAGCAUAAUGGGCUUCCCCUUUAUAUCAUCAUUUUCCCUUCUUCCAUCUUGUUCAAGAUGAUGAUGAGGAUGAGGAUAUUUUUUCCUCUCUUGUCUCUCUGCUGUGUUGAUCUCAAUUGAAUUACCCAUUGGAACUGAAAGCAUCUAAAGAGUAAGAAAAUAGCAUCUGAGGAAGAAGAUGAGAAAAACAACCAAGGAAAAAAAAGAACAAGUUCAGCUGAAUCAGUAAAUUAUUCAAACUGGCAAAAUAAUUAGCAUUACAUUUGAUGUUGCCUCACCAAUGGUUCAAUCGAUCACAAAAUUGGAUACAAAUUAGUCAGUUUGAUUGAUGAAAACGCUGCAAUUGAUGAAUUUACACUAAACUGUUAAAUUGAAAUGGAAAGCACAAGAAAGCCAGUUGUCCAGAAAAGGAUCAAGACUCAACCAAUUUAAACAACUCAAUCAGAGAUUCCGAUUCCCUUCCAAAUAUCAGCACUUGCAGCUAAUUGUGCCAUCUUAUUGGAUCCGAUGUGGUCAACAAAAGUCGUCAGAAUCGAAAUAUUCUGAGGAAUUAUUUUUCUUCUCAUGGCAAAUGACGACAGAAUAUAUUUUUGAUUUUAAAAGCUUUUGUUGUUUCAGUGAUAAUGAUUUCUCGCUUCUAUGGAAUCUUAUUUUUCUUGUGAUUUUCUCAUUCUCUGGCGAGUUUAGGUAUCUCGACCUUUUUGAGCUUCUUUGAGGUCUUUGAAGGGCAACAUUUGAUGGCACAAAAGUAUGAUUUUUGAUCUGAAAAGCUUUUAUUUUUGGAAUUUUUUGUCACUUUUGUCAGUCUUUUUGUUCACUUCUAAUUGCAAAAGGCAUUAAAAGUCGCAAAAUUUUUAUCUGUUUACAUUGACUCAAUUGAAACUGUUUGACUAUACAAUGAACCAUUAAGAGCCCAUUAUAAGUCUUAUAAGAUUAAACUCUUGAUUUUGACCAUCAUAUCAUCUGAUCAUUAUUAUCAUCAUUAUUUCUAAUGGUCACUGUAUUUUGAGCAUUUCAAGUCAUCUUUAGCUGUUUUUCCUUGCGAGUGAAAAUGGGAAAACAUUUUGCUGCUCAUUUCAUUUCAUGAGGUUAAAUUAUUGUUAAUAGUUAGUUUGACAUCAUUUGAACUCAAAAUGAACAGUAAAAAACAAAAUUUCAACUCAUCUUCACCAUCAUCUUGAUGAUCAUCUUCAUCUUAUUUCUUAUUUAUCCAGAAUAAAUCUUGUAAGGCAAUUACAGUGGACAAUACAAAGGCAAAAAGAUGAAAUUGAUGACAUUAACUUGUCAUGAUAUUUAAUUUUAAUUCACUUUAAAGUAUCAUCCUUUGGCACCAAAUUUCAAACUAGACAGUUCAAUUUGUCGCAAGUAAUUUAACCCAAGACAAAAAAACAAGUAAAACACAGAUGACAUUACACCAAAUAUAAAAUGUAACAAUCAAUUUCUGAUUCCUCUUAAAAUUGAACUCAACAUUGACAACAAAAACAACAAAACAAAAAAGAGAAAAGCAAAGACUUGGAAUGAAAUUUUCAAAGUUCAU